rnacentral:rRNA from 1 species
UACAGGGGGGGCAAGCGUUGUUCGGAAUUACUGGGCGUAAAGGGUUCGUAGGUGGCCACUUAAGUCAGACGUGAAAUCCCUCAGCUUAACUGGGGAACUGCGUCUGAUACUGGGUGGCUUGAGUGCAGGAGAGGAAUGCGGAAUUCCAGGUGUAGCGGUGAAAUGCGUAGAUAUCUGGAGGAACACCGGUGGCGAAGGCGGCAUUCUGGACUGUAACUGACACUGAGGAACGAAAGCGUGGGGAGCAAACAGG